UGGCUUGAAAACUGCAUCAACUCAAACAUUCACGAGGAGACAGGCUGCAACUCCGACAAUCAAGUCAUUUUUCCGUAAAUGACACUUGGCGUUUUUUUGGAGUCACCGUCAGUCAAAGGCGAACCCCGCCCAUCCCAAGUGGGUUGGGGCUUUUCUAAUGUGGGAUGACAUCACCCCCCCCCUUUUUUUUUCUCUUUCUCCUUUCAGCAUAUCUGUCAUCAGCAAGACCGGCAAGCAGAAGUACAAGAUUUGACUCAACAUCCCGAUGGGGGAAAGAAUUCUGCAGAAAGGUGACAAAAUACACAUCUUUGAAUGUACAUGUCAGCCUUUACUGUGUGAGCAACGAAAACGCCAAAGAAAAAGCAGAGCGGCUGAGUCUGUUGGUGGCAGAUGGCGCCUUCCAAUCUGAUCCAAUCGGGCAACACUGCAGGAUUGUGUUUCAAAAUCCAUAUUUUCAACACCCUCAUCAUUCUGUAUUUUGAAGCAUUUUGUAAAACGCAUGCUCAAAUGUGUGUGUGGGGGGGGCUCUUUCCAGGGCCACGCUUCCCCCGAACAGAACGAUGGAAGAAGAGAUACUUUUUCUUUCCAUAGUCGACACAUUUUAUGGAAUACAAAUAAGCACCAACAUGGAUGGCGUUCUGCACGUUGCCUUUAUCAUCAACCCGAAGAAAGGAAGCUGAAAACGUGCCCUCCCUUCAGUCCCUUGACACCAAGAUGGCGGCAUACGUGAUGUGGCUUCGGCUCGAGUGCACAAAAGCCUGGCCCUCCGUCUCUGGAUUCAUAAGAGCUCCGGAAACUCAUCCGAAACGAGCUGCCGCGUGACUCUGCGUUUGGAGAGAUGAUUACAUUCCUACUUUGGCUCCAAACUGAAGAGUGUGAGCGAUAAGAAAAAAAGGCCAAAAGUCUCACGGCCUUAUCA